CCUCCCCCAUCCCAACUGCCGCAGCUGGGAACGCUUGUCUCACCUUGACAGAACAUGGUGUUUUUAAGUAUGUACACAUUAUGGAGCGGCUGUAUCCAGCUAGCUGACGUGAAUCUCCCCAGAGCUGUCAUUGUGGAGUCAAAACAAUUCUCCUGUUAGAAGAAUGGCCGAUCUCGAAUGCAAUACCACAGUAUGAGCUGACCUGAUACCACCAUCUGGUAGACCACAGACACCCCCUUUACCACAUAUGUCACUCAUACUGAUAUUUUCUUAAUUCCUCUCUCCUCCACCUAAGAACCUUCAAAAGGUAAGAGCUGGACUCCCACACAAGGCCAGCCUGGUCUACAGAAUGAGUUCCAGGACAGUCAGAGGAG